AAGAACCAGAAUCAGAUGUUGAAGAGGCAGAUAAAGUAUCAGAAUUAGAUGUGGAAACAGUAUAUAAAGAAGCAGAAUCAGAUGUUGAAGAGGCAGAUAAAGUAUCAGAAUCAGUUAUGGAAAAGGCAGUUGAAGAAGUGUUAGAAUCAGAUAUUGAAGAGGCAGAUAACAUAUUAAAAUCAUAUUUUGAGGAAGCAGAUAAAGUAUUCGAGUCAGAUGUUGAAGAUGUAGUUGAAGAAGUGUUAGAAUCAGAUGUUGAAGAGGCAGGUGAAGAAGUAUUGGAGGAUGUUGUUGAGGAAGCAGAAGAGGAAAUAUUAUCAGGUGUUUCUGAGGAAGCAGUAGAGAAAAUAUUGGAAGGUGUUGCGGAGGAAGCAGAAGAGGAAGUAUUAGCAGGUGUUUCUGAGGAAAUAGAAGAGGAAGUAUUAUCAGGUGUUUCUGAGGAAAUAGAAGAGGAAAUAUUGGAAGGUGUUAGUGAGGAAGAAGAAGAGGAAGUAUUAUCAGGUGUUUCUGAGGAAGCAGUAGAGGAAGUAUCAGAAUCAGGUGUUGAAGAGGCAGAAGAGGAAAUGUUGGAAGGUGUUUUUGAGGAAGCAGUAGAGGAAAUGUUGGAAGGUGUUAGUGAGGAAGAAGAAGAGGAAAUGUGGGAAGGUGUUUUUGAGGAAGCUGUAGAGGAAAUAUUGGAAGGUGUUGCUGAGGAAGUAGAAGAGGAAAUGUUGGAAGGUGUUUCUGAGGAAGCAGUAGAAGAAAUAUUGGAAGGUGUUAGUGAAGAAGAAGAAAAGGAAGUAUUAUCAGGUGUUUCUGAGGAAGCAGUAGAGGAAGUAUUAUCAGGUGUGUCUGAGGAAGCAGUAGAAGAAAUAUUGGAAGGUGUUAGUAAGGAAGAAGAGGAGGAAGUAUUGGAAGAAGAAGUUGAGGAAGCAAAAGAGGAAGUAAUAGAAGAAGAAGCUGAGGAAGCNNNNNNNNNNAAAAAUAGUUUGAUAUACAUUUAGUAUUUUUAUAAAUUGUGUUUUAGAAAUAAAUUAAUAGAUAUAUAAUAAUAAUAAUAAUAA
rnacentral:lncRNA from 1 species